GACGAACGCUGGCGGCGUGCCUAAUACAUGCCAGUCGAACGAGCGCACCCGAAGCUUGCUCCGCUGAAUUUAGCGGCGGACGGGUGAGUAACACGUGGAUAACCUACCUAUCAGACUGGGAUAACUUCGGGAAACCGGAGCUAAUACCGGAUAAUACUUUGAACCGCAUGGUUCGAAAGUAAAAGACGGUCUAGCUGUCACCUGUAGAUGGAUCCGCGCUGCAUUAGCUAGUUGGUAAGGUAACGGCUUACCAAGGCACCGAUGCAUAGCCGACCUGAGAGGGUGAUCGGCCACACUGGAACUGAGACACGGUCCAGACUCCUACGGGAGGCAGCAGUAGGGAAUCUUCCGCAAUGGGCGAAAGCCUGACGGAGCAACGCCGCGUGAGUGAUGAAGGUCUUCGGAUCGUAAAACUCUGUUAUUAGGGAAGAACAUAUGUUUAAGUAACUGUUCGCAUCUUGACGGUACCUAAUCAGAAAGCCACGGCUAACUACGUG
rnacentral:rRNA from 1 species